CUCUUGCAGAUAAGAAGCAGCUGUUCUUUGCUUAAAAUGUGCUGAGGACUGCCAUCAAGGAAGGAGUUGAAUCGUAGGUGGGAAGAAGUAAAGAUCUCAUCUAAAUCCAAUUAUUGCCUGUCCCAAAAAGAGUACACCUGGUUGAAUCGGGAUGUGUACGGUUUACCAUGAAAGCGGAUAUGAUACUACGGCCAGGAGAAUUUACCAAGGAUAUGGAUUGUUUCAAUUCAACCACCGAAUAUGGUGUCUUGACAAAAGGAUAGUCUCACAUAAUAUCUGCAAUAUCUGCUGUAUAAAGUUCAUUGAUGAUGAUAUCACAGACGACAUUUUGUGUGCCAAGAAAAUUGCCGAUACGCCCCGAGGGUUGGAGCACUUUGAAAUGUGGAGAGACCACUGCAAAGGAAAAAACAUUCAUGGCUGGGUAAAGGACUGCUGGGGACUUGAGCGUAAAUGGACAAAAGUAUGAAGCGAAGCCAGUGUUUCUCUUGAUUUGCUCCUGGAGAAAGUGAUGAUUAUAUUCUCUCCUUUCCUUCCACAUUCGGAUCCUUCCUCCUCUGAAAAGGCAAGUUUCUUUCCCAAGGAGAGCUGCUGGUGAUGGGUCUGGAUGACUA